CGGCCCGGGGCUGGGGCUGCGGCUGGGGGCCGGCGGCGGGCCGGGGUCCCCCAUGGGCCGGCGGGGCUGCCCCGGCCCCACGGAGAGACAAAGGAGAGCACUUUAUUGAGCCUCACACUGUUAUGGGGUUCUACUGCUGUUCAUCUUCCUUGUCCUGCAUACUUCUAAUAGAUCUGCGGUCAAUCAGAACUACAUGCAGUGCUUUGGAUGCGGGUGCAGUCGGGGUUUGUAUGGUGGUGCAGUGGUUUGUCUUUUGCCUUUUCUUUCUCCUAUCUAUAAUGGUUGCAACAUUUUGUUUGCAUUUUCUGUCUGCUGGAGAGCGCUGGACAGAUGUUUGCAAAGAGGUCUUAACAAGUAGUCCAAGAUUCUUCCUGGAGUGAUUAUUUAUAAUUUAUCACAGUGUAUGUGCAAUUGUGUGUUUUUCUCCCCCAAGUGUAUUUAUGUGUGUCUAUCGAUAAUAAAUGAUGCGUGGUUUUAUGUUACUGAAUCACUCGGCAUUCAGUAUGACAAUGCCUUUUGAAGUAUUGACUGUUGUAAGCGAUUUCUAUCAUCAGCAGACUUAGCCAACUCAUUAUUAAUCCCCUUUUCCAGAUCAUCUGUGAAUGUACUGAAGAAAACAAGUUCAAGUGCGGAUCCCUGAUCUCUGGUCUCCCAUGGUGAAAACAAUUUAUUACUACGCUUCAACAAAUCAUUAAUCUACCAAAGAAUUUUCGUCCUUAUGAUAACUUAGUUUCUUUAAGAGCCUUUAGAGAGAGAUCUUGUCAAAACACUUUGACUUCUGGAAAUCCGAGAACAUUACAGCAAUCCGCAUUCACCAACAUGCAGGCUUCGUUCAAGAAUUGUAACAUCGUCAAGUUCAUCAACCCAUGUCAGGCUGUAAAACGUACAUUUAGUCAGGUUUCUUCUGCAGGUAUGACGUUAUUUGUGUACCAAAAAUAGUGGUGAGCACUUUCAUUACUUGUACAGAGGCUUCUAGCAGUUAGUGACAGUUUCUAAGUGAACUUAUUGCUAUGCUGCCAGAAACUCCAGAGCGAGGCACAGAUUUCCAUUGACCCUGAAUGCAGCAUGGUUUCUUUGUGAUAGAAGUCUUCUAUUUAUUUUCCAUAAAUGACAUAUCCCUGAAGCAACAGCGAGGGAAUGAAAGUUACAUUUUAUCACUGUAACAUUUGCAGAAAAGUGAACUGCUAAACUCCCUAUUCAUAAUGAAACUUUGACUAGCCAUGAGUUCUUAAAAAGCUUACCUGCAGGUGCAUAGCUUUUUUUUUUUCCUUUAAAAAUUUAUAUCUGAGCCUUAUGAACUUCUGAUUAAACUUUUAAAAUAAAUUAAGGGUGAGAGGAUUAGACAGGGAAUUGGAAAUGAACUGUGGUAUCUUUUGCCUCUAGCUCAGCAUUUUGAAGGCAGCCCAAAUGAGAUGUGACAAAGUGCAGCGCUCUCGUUUCUUUCUGCUGACCUAUGUAACCAAGCAUAUAACUUUUAAAGUGACAAGAAAUCCCCCACAGAAAUUACAGAAAAACAGAAUAAAGCAAAUGCUUGCUAUUCAAGAGGUUUGCCAUCACAGUAUCUGAAAACCUUAUUAUAAAGGUAAUAAGCAAAGCAUGACUACUCAUCUGUCUUAUUUUGUUUUUUAUCCAUCUUAUGGAAAAAGAAAUGUGCAUAUUAGAAUAUUACGUUUGUUUUGAUGAAUUUUUAUCCAGUAACAUAUGUUGUGCUAUGCGAAUGUAUAUAUAAAUGAAGAAAUAUGCUUUGCAUUUGGAAUAAAAGGGUGUCAACCACUUUCUAAUUUUUAUGAGGUCCUCAGGAAAACCCUAAAUCUUUUCUCCCUACAAUGAGUUGUAAUCUUACUGUGUAGCAUUCAUUGUGUAAUUGUUGACCAUGGUCUUUUCUCUGGCAGUGUAUUGAUCUUAGUCCCAGGACAUGAAAUGCCUUACAGAGCAAGACUUAGCACAUUCAUUGUCCUGUGGGAAGAUGCUGGAGAAACUGUAAAGCCAGUGGGUGGCAUUUGCAAUAGCUUCUGUUGUGGAGGAAGGGAUCUGCUGUCUCUGUAGCAAACUGGAGCCACCACAGUGCUACAGAUCUCUAUCCUGGGAUGCGUCAUCCAGCCAAGGCCAAUAGAAGAAGCUUGAGUAACUGAGGUCUGCUGGCUGGCAAAGUGUCUUGGGUCCAGCUGGCAUCAAGAGAGCGCGCUGUGCAUGGAUGUUGCCCUGUGAGAGCUUUAUAGCCCUGACGAAUGCAGGAGUAUUGCUGGAGUGUGGACUGAGUUGGUAAACAAGUCUUAUCUGGGUGAAGGGAUCUGCACGCUCAAUGCUAAACUCUAAGCUCUUCCCUCUGACACAGCUAUUGGCUUUUUGAUUGUUUAUCCUUAAUCUUAUGUAGAGAUUGCACAAACUGGAAAAAGGUAGUGUGCUUUGUUUUAAUAGGACAGACAUUUGAAUUCUGAAUGAAGGCUUUGAAAACAUGAACUUGUGACACUAAACUAACUCUGUAUAACCUUUGUGUACUUGCUGAGUUAUUUGCAGAAUUAGUUUUGGGUUAUCUUUUUUCUUCUUUCUGGGCAGUACAUAUACAGUGCUGCAGUAUUUCUAUCCUCUUAUCCAGGUGCAAAUGGGAUCAGAAUCAGGGAAGGGAACCCAGCUGGCAUUGAUUUAAUCAUGCUGGCACUGCCCUCGUUCCUUCCCCAUCUCAAGUACAUCUGAUGUGAUUUGGCAUCUGGGGUAAACUCUAGGCAGUACUGUGUGUGUGUGUCAGGAUACUUUAGACCUCAUUGCUGGUUAAGGUGUUACUGUCUGCUCUGCUUUCUAGAAACUGCCUCUACAUUUUGGCAUUAUUAGUUGGGUUUGACUUCUGUGGCCCUCACUUAUAAGUAUCUUAGUGCAGAAGUCAUUUUUCUCUCUCUGUUAUAAACUGUGUUCAAGCAUAGUCUUUAAAUUUGAUAAGUAGAUGUGCCACAGUUUUGAAACUCUCAUUUCCUUCACUAAGCCUAAAAUAAUUUGAGGUAGUUGGUUGUGUGGACAAAGUUUGAUCCUUGAUUCAUACAGGAGCUGUUUUGUGAUGUGUAUUCCAUCUAAAUGGUAUGGUUUUGUUUCACUUGUACUGACUUUGUCAUGUAAUGAACACAAUGGAUUGGAUGCCUUAGUCCAAAAAUGUGUUUUUAUGGCACAGUUGCCUAGAGCACCAAAUUUUUGCACUUCUGUUGUGUACAAAUCCAAACAGGUAAAACCCACUUGCUCUAUUCAUUGCGUUAUGUGUAGAUUUAAAUAUCUUGUGUGCAGGUAUUAGUCACAUUCCAAGACAAGUUCUUAAAAAGAAAGUCAUUCAUAUUCCACAACAUUAGUUUUCAAUUAUUGCCUAACACAUUUAGUACUUUGAUGCCCUUCAACUCUCUAACCGUAUCUCAGUGGAAGUCAAUGACUAUUUGCUUUACUUUAUCCAAAAAGACAAAAGUAGUUUUAUGUCAUUCCUAAAUCUGCACAUCAUAUUAAAAAUACAGUGCUUUUUCUGCCUGUUUUAUACUGUGUCCAUUUUGUGUCACACAUGGAAUCUCAGUCAAAAUACUUCAAGUUGUUUCCUUUCUUGCAUAAAACCUUCUCCAGCCACAUGAGGAAUUUACUCAUAAAAAAACCCCCACAACACUAAACACCAAGUAAUUCUGUACUAAUAAGUGAUCCAAUAAGCUUUCAAUUCAACAGCAGUACAACUAUUGCCUCCAUAAGUAAAGUUGGUACAUUUUGAAGGAGGGGAAGAGUACUGUAGCUUGUUUUCAGAAUAGGCAAUUACCUGUAUCACUUACCUGUACCACUUAGGUUCUGGAGAAGCAAGGCUGUGAAGGCUCUGAAAUCUGAAGAUACUCCUAUUUUGUAGAAGUUGGUUGUACAUAUUGCCACUAUAAUGAUUCUUAGGACUUCUGAAAUGUAAGGAACAUGCAAUGUUAUUAUCUUGGCAGUCCUUCCCAGGUGUCUCAUUAGCUAGCAGUCCUGCUCAUAUCUACUGCCACAUGUUAAGGGUGCAAUGGCCAGAAUCCUUUUUACAGCAACAGAGCUGUAGGGUGUUGUCUUUCUGGCUUUUCUGGUAGUAAUUUCUGCAUUUUCAGUGCAAGGCUGGAAUUUAUAAGUUCAGUGAUUGUUUUACUCAUUGACCAUCCAGAGUUUAUACAUACUGGCAAAUCUGGCCAGUCUGGAAUGACUGAAUCUGGUAAAAUAUGGAAUGACUGAAUCUUCUGUUAAAACUCAAAGUAAAAAGGAGUAUUUGAGGUUUUUCACAUUCAAGUUUCCUCCAUCUCUCAGUUUUUAGUACUUUGUGUUCUUGGCAGCUUUUGGAAGGUUCAGAAAGCACAAACACUAAAAUAUAUGGGGACACUUCAGUUACAAUUAUCUUCCCAACACUGGCAAUCCCAAAUCAACCUCAAACAGCCUGAAAAGAACUUCUCAACGUGAGAGGAAAUUCCAGAGAAUUCUAUGCAAGCUUAAGUAUACUGGUAAUGGUAUUGCAAUUUGGAGGAUGGCCAAAGCAAUGCAGGAGAGCAGGAUGCACAGAACUGUCAGAGUGGAGUUCUAAUAAACAAUGGCUGCUGCAGGUGCCUAAGUGUUGGCAGUGCUUUUUUAGCCCACUGCAGGACCAGCAGUGAAGAGACUGAACCAGGAAUGACCUAAGAACAAACCAGGAAGCUGGGGCAAAUUAAAGUCAAGAGGUUUCUCACCUUUACCCACUAAGCCAAUCUCAGUAAACUCCCAGCAGUGAAACAGUUAAUGGAGGUACUACAACAGCUAGUUUCAGAUUGACUUGCUUAAGAUAUUUCUGGCACAGAAGGGAGUUACAGAAACUUUUUAACAUAUUCCCACGUGCUGGUGUUUAAACAGAAAUGAAGAAAUAGAGCAGGACUCUUGGGGUGGGGUGGUCAUGUUUUUCUCCUGCACCGAGUCUCACUAAAGCAAGACUUCAUCCUGACAGUGUAAGCAAGAGCGUGGUCCUCAUCCCUUCCUUCAGCUCAGUGCUCUGUGCACAUCCCACUCAGGAAGAAGAUUAUGGUGUUUGCCCUAGUCAACACGUGGGUUUACCAGGCUCUGUGCUUCCCCACUACUGGAUCCAAGAGCAAAGUGUCAACUUUUUGCUUGGUCUUCUUGGUCCUUGUGUGCUACACUCUUAAAAGUGCAGAUCAGGCAGCUAUCAGAGCAGGAAUUAUAGCGUUCUAAAAUGCGACAAUUUCAUAUUUCACAAUUAAACCGAUGGGGACAUUAAAGAAGGGUUGCUUUUGUAAAAGAAUACAGCAUGGUAAGAGAUAAUCUGCCUUUUAUUAGGUCAGCUGGAAAUAAGGCUUGAAAUACGAAUUUCUGUGUUUAUACAGGAUAAAAUCCUAUCCAGUGUUUCUGAUGUCACAUAGUAAUAUUGGAUGGAGAUAAGAUGAUUUACAUUUAUUGCAUGUCAUGUAAUGUAAUAAUCACCUAAAAAAGCUUUCCUUUCUCCUGAUUUAAAAGGAGAUCACAUUGUGCCAGGAAAAAUAUGAAAAUAACAGAUUUUGUGAACAGUGGGUAUGCGAAUGUAUAUUAGCUUACAAUGCCUACAGUUUGGGAGAGCGCAGAAAAGAUGUUUAUUCUCAACCUGAUUUUUUUGAAUGCUCAGUAAUAAAACAGGUACUUCUAAAGAAUUUAAACUGGAAAAUUAAGGGUUUUAUAAAACAAUGACUAAUUUGUGGAGGUGUGUUUUUUAGCUAGUUUUAUAUGCUUAGAUAGCGGUAGAAUUUGCCCUCAAAGCUGUUAAAACUAUAGUAAUUUUGCACAAUCAAUGAUUUCUAACUGUAUUUAUCAACCUUAGUAUUUAGUGGUCCAUGUAUAUUGCUCACACAUCAAACUGUAUGAAAAAAAAUAGCACAGCAAAACAUCAGAGUGACAGAGGCAAGGUAUAUCUGUGUAUACACUCUAUCAACUUUUUAUGUAAAGUGUUGUUUCCUAAUGCUGGGAUUUUUCAUGCUUUGUUUUCCCAACUAAGAUCAGGGCCGCUGGUGGAACAGCUCCAUGAAGAGAAAUGUAAGCAAUGCUUUCAUGACUAAUUCAGAGCCUGUGGGCUGGAACACUCAUUUGGGUAAUGAGAUAAUAUCACCAUCAGAUCUUAAAUAAGAGUUUCCAACAUUAGAGUAUGAACAACCACGCUACUUGCAAUGCAAUUUUUUGUUCUAUUUGGUGUUGUCCUGGAAGUACUAAAUCAUUUCUCAUCAAGGUGUUUUCAAAAUCUCAUGUGAUCUUUAUGGUAUGACUCAUUUGACAGCAUUUCUAGUGGAAAACCCAGUAAACUCUGGGCUGCAUUCCAGUAAUAUAUCACACAUGAUUGUUUUAUACAAAUUUGGUAGACUUGAAGUGACUUAGACUGGUAGACUUGAAGUAUAUAUGGGUCCCAUGUUUGCCACCUAAUUCUGUUAUUCAUUUAAAAGCCGUGCUUCAAAAAAUGUGGAAUAAGGUCAAAACAGAUUUGAAAUUAAAGUUAGAUCUCUGUUAUCUGUUUGCUGUUUUUCUUGACUAUAUCAUCUAUUUAAGUUUUAACUUUUAGACCAGUGAUAGAUUGAAAUGUGCUUUGUUUUUGUUAAUGAAAGGUGGGAUUUCCUUCUAUUCCCUUGUGUCUAAGACUUGCAUCUCUAAGGUGGCAUGAUGAGUCAUUAUAAUGCUAAGAGAAGUGGUAAUAUUUCUCAAAAGAAACUGGUAUCAAAUGAUGCACAGCGAUCUCUUGAUGCUACACUGUUGUGGUGUCAUUGGUGGGA